CGACGACGUUGAUAGGCCGGGUGUGUAAGCGCAGCGAUGCGGUGAGCUAACCGGUACUAAUGAACCGUGAGGCUUAACCUUACAACGCCGAAG
rnacentral:rRNA from 1 species